AGAAUAUUCAACCGAACUUUAUUCUCACUCAUAAGUAUCAUCACCAAGGCCGAAAGCCAAUGCACCAAUUGAUCUUGACCAUCCACUUCAUUGAUCGUGACCUUUCACUUGUAAACAAGAAAAUGCAAAACAAGCCUUCAAAGGCAAAUGGGGAUCAUCAUUCCUCAAAAGAGUGUCCACAUGCUGUUGCAAAUGACAGACUGACCAGGUUCAUUGAACCUGGAAUCCAACGCUUUCUCCAGAGUCAUUAUUUAACGUACGUUCAUGGCCAUACUUACAACAUACCACCAAGAAAGAAGAGGCAACAGUUCUAAUAAAGAUGCUGAUAAUCUGAGCCCUCAUCUACGCCUAAUAUUCGUUCCAGAAAUGUGAGUAGAGCUGAGGAUGUGGUUGCAAUAGAAUAUGCGUGGCUAAGCUGUUGUCUCAUCAGAAUGUUUAGCCUGGAAAGUGGAAGUGUGAACUCAAAGACUUCCAAGUUUUUUAAUUAUACAUUCCCAAAUGUGCUUGAUUUAUAUCUGGUAAGCCACCGUUCCUUCUCCUUCUGGAAAGAUUGGCUCUCUGCGUGGAUACCUGGCCAAAGAAAAGCUCUCUCCCCACGUACCAGAUUUAACCUUCUGGGUAGUCAAAUAGACCAUACGUUUGAAGGAAUGGAUGGUGGCAUUGGCAGCCAUGAUAUAUGUAAUUUCCCUCAGGCCAUGAAUGUGGGUUUUAAUUGGUUGUUUUCUCAGUUAUCUGUCUCAACUGAUCGCAUGCCAAGCAUGAUACACUGGUGCUUGCAAGCAGUAGUUGCAGCUGGGACCUUCCCCAGGCUUGCAUUUCUCUAGUGUUGGCUGAUGACACUCCUUAUUGCAGAGAACUGUGAUGAAUGAGCGAAAAAACAUAGGUGAGAAGAGAGAAGUGAAGAGUUCCCCUUAAACACUUCAGAUUGCGAUAUUUUCGUGAUAUUAAAGGCAAUAUGAGAGUGUCCUUGAUAGAACUUUAUGUUCAUAACGACAAGAGUUCUCCCUUAAACUUCAAAUUUCUUUUUAUUUUGAAAUAUAUAUGUCUACCUUUGCCUUUUUUUUGUUUUUUGGAAUAUCCUUACUAGGGAUGAUUGUAUUCAUAAAGAGAAGAGUUCUCUCCUAAAACUUCAAUUUUCUCAGUUUAUGAUUGUAUAUGGUCACAAGAAUUCUGACAUAAUAAUGUAUUUCUUGUUUGGAAUAAUUCAGAUUAUCACACAUUCAUAUGGUUUCCCCUUUU